rnacentral:rRNA from 1 species
GACAGAGGCCACGAACGUUGGUCGGAAUCACUGGGAAUAAAGCGCACGUAGGCGGCUGGGUCCGUCCGAUGUGAAAGCCCCCGGCUCAACCGGGGAAUUGCAUCGGAUACAGCCCGGCUUGAGGACGGUUGGGGUGAGUGGAACUCCUGGUGGAGCGGUGAAAUGCGUAGAUAUCAGGAAGAACCCCCGUGGCGAAGGCGGCUCUCUGGGACGGUACUUACGCUGAGACGCGAAAGCGUGGGGAGCGAACAGG